rnacentral:pre_miRNA from 1 species
AGUGGAACAGUUGGGUAAUAUGGUAUAUUUAGCUUUUUAAGAAACUGCCAAACUGCUUUACAAAGUUGACUGUACCAUUUUACAUUUCUACCAGCAGU